CCUACGGGAGCAGCAGUGGGGAAUAUUGGGCAAUGGGCGCAAGCCUGACCCAGCGACGCCGCGUGAGGGAUGAAGGCCUUCGGGUUGUAAACCUCUUUCAGCAGGGAAGAAGCGAAAGUGACGGUACCUGCAGAAGAAGCACCGGCUAACUAUGUGCCAGCAGCCGCGGUAAUACAUAGGGUGCAAGCGUUGUCCGGAAUUAUUGGGCGUAAAGAGCUCGUAGGUGGCUCGUCACGUCGAAUGUGAAACCCUGAGGCUCAACCUCAGGCCUGCAUCCGAUACGGGCGAACUGGAGUGUGGUAGGGGAGACUGGAAUUCCUGGUGUAGCGGUGGAAUGCGCAGAUAUCAGGAGGAACACCAAUGGCGAAGGCAGGUCUCUGGGCCACUACUGACACUGAGGAGCGAAAGCGUGGGGAGCAAACAGGAUUAGAUACCCUGGUAGUCCACGCUGUAAACGGUGGGCACUAGUUGUGGGAACCUUCCACGGUUUCUGCGACGCNGCUACGCGUAGUAGCCCGCCGUCGGGAGGUACGAGUCGCGAGAAGUUAAACUAACGAACGAAGUUAGACGGCGUGAGACGUAGCCGACGGACGACGACGAGGGAGGUUAGG
rnacentral:rRNA from 1 species